GGCAAGAAAGCUUUCAUUCAUAAUAUUACUCAGAAAUAUUCAGUACAACAAACACCCACGCUAAAAAGAAACACGUUCAGAGAACAACCUUAGUAAGAGAUGAGAGUUCUUUAUCCUGUUUCUCCUAUCUAUAUAACAAAAACAACUGAAAGCUCUCAAUAUCAGUUAUUCUCUUUGCAUCUACUCUCAUAACCCACACGCUAUAUUAUGCAAAUAUGCUCAAGGGACCAGUCUUAUUUGAAGCCUCUAGACCAUUUUCAGCACUCCUCAUCCCGGUGAUCCAUGGCCUGAAGGAAAAAAAUAAAAACUUUGAUAAGUGAUAAAAGUUUGUAAGACUAAUAAGCUUGGAAAUCGACUUCAAAAGCGAAACAAUUUUAAAAUUUGAUUGUUUUUAAAACCCAUAUGCCUGAAAGACAGUUAGUUCCUUACGGAAAAGUGGAAAUCUUUUUUCUCCCUACGUUCUUACCUUCCGAUAUUGUCACUGUUAGUUGGCUUCAUCGGAAUUGUCAACCUUUUUGCUGUUUUUACAAAGACACUGCAUUUCCAACAAGAGUGAAUAUAAAAGUUCUAAUAAAUAUAGUACCAAGGAAACCUGUAACAUCUAUAAUUGCAAAUUUAGCAGUCACGUUAACCUUAUAAAAUCAAAAUACUAAAGGAAUGAGGCAGAAAGGUAUAAGAUGAGGAAAGAACUUUUCUUCACAAUGGUGUACCUGAAUGGCUCAUCUCCCAUCCGUUUAACAUCACCCAUUGCAUCUCGGUAAAGAACAUGGCUGAACAUAUCGGAUCUUUCUAUCCCAAACAUUUUGGCCAACCUAGUAUGCAGCUCUUCAUAAGAUCCAAGAACAGAUAAGUCAAGGGUCCGACCUACAUCCUCUGAUUCCAAGAAAACCUUGCACUGACCGGCAUCCAAGCCAGUUUCAGUGGUGUGAAGACUCUGCCAUGACAAGCCGGUACUAGCCGACUUUUCCACUGAUAUUUGUUUCUCAGAAGCACAUCCCAAAACAUCAUGACUUUUUGAUUUUUCCGGACUCUCAUCUGAUGAAAAUUUUCCACUAAGAACUUGGGAGACUGCAUCAGUGGAACAGCUAUGAGAAAUCUGCUGCUCAGUGAGAAUUGGUUGACCAAAGAGUAAAAAUUGGUGCCUCUUUACAUUAUCAGAUUUCUCUGAAUUUGUAUUAGAGCUCCCCAUUGUCAACAAGCAAGAUAAAUUCUCAUCGCUAUUUGUAUGGCCUUUCAUGAAACUUUCAGAAAUUCUAGAAUGUGAAUUGAACCGCUGGAGACCGGACAAAAACAGCCCUGACUGCAGUUUGUUGUUAAGCUGGAGAUCUGAUAAAGAUAUUCCAAAUUGAGCAUGCCUGGCUCCCUGUAUGCCUGCAGGAGUGUUAUCAGAUAGACAACACAAGGGGCUGCUAGGCCCAAGCGGGUUGCCUGAAAAUGAUGGCCAUUGAAAUUGGCUAUCAAGGGGAAAGUCCAAGUGUUGCGGGAGCCGCAACUUCUUCCUUGGUGGGGAGAAGGGUGACAGGUGGAUGACUGGCAUGUUUGAAACCAAUUCAACCAACCAUGGGCUGACACAUUUUACAUUCUGCAGCAAAUCCGGCUCAUCCCAUGUCACCUGCAAUGAGAAUUUGCAGAGAUAUUGUAAGGAUUAAAGGAUUAAAAACAAAAGAAGAUGUCAUAAACAGGGCUGUUAGUGCAGGAAAAACAAUUCUAAAAUGCAAGGGAACAGUUGAAUCAUAGAAGUACUAAGAUUCUUUAAUGAUUCUCCAUCAAUAAUUACCGCUGUAAAAUCCAUGAAAUGGCAUACUCAAAGUACCACAUGCAUCAAUGUAUUAUAGUUUGAGAAUCUGAGAUUAAGUGGAUCUUUUUAAAAGAAUAUAAAUACAAAAGUAUUUAUUAACUAAAAAGAAAUCACAGACAAUUAGAUUAAGGAAACAUCAUAACUUGGGCAACAAUGUGUAGGGAAUCCCCUAAUAAUUGAUUAGCUCAAACACAUGGAUUAUAUAUUUUCUGGUAACUUGCAUGAUGGGUAUAUCAUUUAUUGAAUAUGCCAUGUCAGAAACUCCUAUCUGGUUCCCAUGUGGAGCUUAUUAAACGAUCCAAGGACAAAAUUUACAAAUUCUGUCAGGUAGAGGACAGCAUAAGGGAUAAUAGUAAUUAUACAGAUCAAGCAGAUCAUAACACACAAAGAAUGAAAGAACUCCUAAAUAAAAAGCCGAAAGCUAAAAUGAUGGUUACCUUAUCAAUCAACUAUGGGACAAUGGUCAACCGUUUAACAUAAAUGAGCAGGUGUACUAGCCAUAAUGCUAUCUGUUUCAACUUAUCAGAAACUUCAAUUAAGAUAGUAAAUGCCCCACCAUUGAUUCAAAGAAACUUUAUCAGGUACUGCACAGUGAUUCAUCAGCAAGCAAUACUCUUAGCACACGACUUCCACAAAUAUCACACAAAAAACCCAUUUUUAUCCAACAACUGGUUUGGUGUUCCAGGUAUGAAAAGGAGAUUGUCAGUUGCAACAAAUCGCUGACAGAAAAUACUAUAACUGAAUACCAGAAAAGCAAAGGAAAUAAAACAAGAAGAAAUUUUGCGACCAAAAGUGGUAUAGCAUCCACAUCUUCAUCCUCCUAUAAUUUAUUAUUAAAGAGGCCUACCGUACGGAUAAAGUGUUGCAAAUGAGAGGCACAGGAAGCCAAUCAAGUCUCCAGGCAACUAACUCAUGAUUUGAAAGAAAAUGAUGCAACUCUGAAUGUUUAACAAAUUAGAGACUCGAAUAAUCCAAAAUAUCAACAACUAGAAAAACACUAGACAAAGGCUAAAUUGAGCAAUAGGAGUUACAAGAAGCAUUGGUAAUAAAGUGAAGUGUAGAACCUGGAGAAGCCGCCAAGGAGAAUUAGGCCACCGGAUGGGAUCAAAAACCUGAACAGAGGCCACAGUCCCCAUGAACCAGCUAAUCCGUGAAGAAUCCUCUGUCUCAAAGGCCAUCUUGAACCUCAUUCCAGAGCACCAUUGGAUCCUCAUUGCAGCCCUCACCGAAGACGCCUUAACGCAAAACUCCGGUGUGCUUGCCCGAGGGUAAUAAACAACCUCAAACGGCUGACCGUUGGCUGCAUGCGCCACCGCCUCCAAAACCUCUUCAGGCCUUACUCUUCCCCUGCCUCGUAGUCCCCCAUUUCGCAUUCCUUUAUUCUCAUCUUCUUUCAGAAAAAGAGAAAAUCCACCAUAUGGGUUAACACAACUCGCAUUUGCAGUCCAUCCAGAGGAAGGUGACGACGAUUCAAUCCCAUUUCCAAUCCCAAUUCCCCGCUUGGCGCGGCGAAUUCCGACGCAGAGAUCGCCAUUUUCAGCUCUCAGGAACACAAUUGAAUCCCCAGCAACCAAUUUCUUCUGGUUAACAAACGUGCUCCACCCAGUAGUCAACAAAUGCCUUCUCGGCGUCCCUCUAUAAAUAUGCCUAAACUUCCAUAUCUCGCCAUGAACAUCCUUGGCAACAACCGUCUGCACCGGUGGAUCUGCCGAGUAAUCCAACCGGGGAAAUAUAGUCUCUGCACAGUAUCGUGGCACAGAGAAACCCCCUCCGUUAUUAGCAUCAGAUUGAGUUAGCGUCUUCGCAAAAGAAGCAGGCUUCUCUGUGUUAUUGCCAUUAUCGCAUAUACCCAUUUCUUCCCCGAAAUCAAGUUCGUUGUUUGGCAAUGCGACGAGGCUAAUCUUUGCGUAGACUUCGUCGGUUUCUAAAUCGGCCAGGUACUUGACAGCUGCCACGCGACAUAGGAUAAGGGCCGGGAUUCUAAGGGAGGAGGAGAAAUCGACCGGAGAUUGGGAGUGCUCGGCGUGGCCUUGAGGAAAGUAGAAUACUCUGGAAUUCACUGGAGGGAUCUGUACCAUGCUUCCUGAGCAGGCGUGCCAUAACUGUGGAUCCAAGCUCUUCUCCAGCUCUUUCAUUGCUUCUGGCAGCGGUGGACUUGAUGUUGGCGAAGAGAGUUCUUGAAAUGCUGUUAGGUGUUAAGUGAAAGAAAACACACACUGCAACAGAGCAAAAGAGAACACCGUUCUUCUCUGUCUGCUACUUCCAAAAAAUGGAACACCUUUACAAGCUUUAUAAAAAUCUAUGUGACAGUGCCAUGUAUCAAAGUUUCAACAUUUACUGCAAAAGCAUCAAUAACCCCCCCAAAUAAUCUAUCGAUUAUCUUCUGAAAUGAAUAAUUUAAGAGCUGAAAUUUCUCUUCAUCACUGAAGAAAACCCAAUUCCUCUUUUAGUCCAAGGAAAAAGCUCUUCUUCUUCUUCACUUAAAAAAGCUGAAUUCUUGAACAACGUGACAGUAUAUUUCCACGCACACACAGACAGACAUUAAUCGGCGAUCAAAUACUCAGCAGCACCUUCAAUCCGCCAAAUUACCUUCCAACAAAACCCCAAAUUUUAAAUCACACCCAUUUUACUAACUUCCAAAACAAAAGCUACCCUUUUCUCCCCUCUUUCCUCUUUUUUGAAGAUCAACCUGAAAUUUUUGUUUUUAUUUUUCUUGGUUUCGAUCAGAUCUCACAAAAUCCAACUCUCUCUCUCUCUCUCUUAUUCUUUAUAUUCGAGAUUUCAUGGAUAUGAGUAUUAAUUUAAUGUACAACCACUUAUCUAAUUGCAAGUUUUCGGGUUUUUUUUUUUUUU
rnacentral:misc_RNA from 1 species